rnacentral:lncRNA from 1 species
AUGUGGCUUGAGGGACAUGGAAACUUGCUCUGUUCCUUGUGGAAUUCACCAAACAUACGUGGACUUCACUGCAAACACCAGAUUGUUCAGGAGACAAAUUGCUGCUUUUGUGGAGUACAUUUUCCAGCAGACAUCCUAUUUAGCUUCUCAAGCUCUUGGUCCCGUCUGAAGACAGUCAUUCAUCAGACAAGCCUGCCUCACGGGCUGUCAGCAUGCUGAAGGAAAGCCUUGAAAAGAGAGCACUGUGGAAACAAAUCAAGUUCUGGCCCCACCUGAGCAGCCAGUGUUAAAUACACCUCAGAUCAGAGGUGCUGGACCAUCCCAUGGAGAAAUUUUCCCCACUGUGGUUAUCCCAGCACCCAGCCAAUGCCAUACUCAGCCCGUACAAUGGAUCACAACGUGCUCAAAGGGCAGAAGCAUGUUACAGAUGACAGGAUGCUAAAUAUGAAAUUUGUUUUUUGUUUUUUUGCUUGUUCUCAACCACAAGCUGCUUGCCUUUUUUUUUAGGUGUUUACCAUAGUCUGCAUAUGCUAUGAGAAGAUUUAUAUCUCAAAUCUGCAAACAGCCAUUUUUGAGGAAGUAAACAAACAACAAGCAUCUGACUGGAAGAGAACUUGUUUUUCUUCAUUUCUGAAAAGCCACUGAAGGGUUAUGGACAUCACUAUUUGAGUAACAGAUAAUAAACACAGUGAAAACACAGUGAAAAAUAAUUCAAACUAAAAUAAAAAAUGCAUACAACAUCUCGUUGGAAAUGUUCAAAAAAAAUGGGCUUGCAAAACCAUAAAUAAAGUAAAACCAUGGGUUGAAAUAGUGAUUGCAGCCUUGUCAAUGGAAUUUCUUUGUGGUAACUAAGAACAAGCACAGCCCUUCCUGUUACCUUCACCUGGAGAGCAAGUGCAGAGAGAGUGCUGCGUGCUGGAGGCAAGGCAGUGAGCACUGAUGGGCGCUAGACAGGCAGCCAUGCACCCUGCAGGAUGAAACCCCACCACUGGCAUUUACUGCUCUGUCUCUGACAGUCUGGUAUUGCCUCUGAGCAUCUCCUGGGCCAGGGCAGAAGCAAAAUACCUAGGGAGAAAGGGAACUGAAGUGGCUCAUGCACACACAUAGCAGAGCCAGUCCCCAGUGCCCAAGCUGACACCUUCUCUUCAUUUGCACCCACACGCUGUGUAGUGCUGUUGGAAGGCUAAGAGAGAAAAAACGCAGAUGAUGGGUAACACGACAUAGAAGGGAAGAUAACACUGCCUGUGGGG